rnacentral:rRNA from 1 species
GACGAACGCUGGCGGCGUGCUUAACACAUGCAAGUCGAACGGAAAGGCCCUGCUUUUGUGGGGUGCUCGAGUGGCGAACGGGUGAGUAACACGUGAGUAACCUGCCCUUGACUUUGGGAUAACUUCAGGAAACUGGGGCUAAUACCGGAUAGGAGCUCCUGCUGCAUGGUGGGGGUUGGAAAGUUUCGGCGGUUGGGGAUGGACUCGCGGCUUAUCAGCUUGUUGGUGGGGUAGUGGCUUACCAAGGCUUUGACGGGUAGCCGGCCUGAGAGGGUGACCGGCCAAAUGGGGACUGGGAUGCGGCCCAGGCUCCUACGGGGGGCAGGAGGGGGGAAUAUUGCAAAAGGGGCGGAAGCCUGAGGCGGCAACCCCGGGGGGGGGAGGACGGCCUUCGGGUUGAAACCCGCUUUCGCCUGGAACGAAGGGGGGGGGACGGUAAUGGGAAAAAAAGCACCGGCUAACUACGG